rnacentral:rRNA from 1 species
AUUGAACGCUGGCGGAAUGCUUUACACAUGCAAGUCGAACGGCAGCACGGACUUCGGUCUGGUGGCGAGUGGCGAACGGGUGAGUAAUGUAUCGGAACGUGCCCAGUCGUGGGGGAUAACGUAGUGAAAAUUACGCUAAUACCGCAUACGAUCUAUGGAUGAAAGCGGGGGAUUGCAAGACCUGGCGGGAUUGGAGCGGCCGAUAUCAGAUUAGGUAGUUGGGGGGGUAAAGGGCCACCAAGCCAACGAUCGGUAGCUGGUCUGAGAGGACGACCAGCCACACGGGAACUGAGACACGGUCCAGACUCCUACGGGAGGCAGCAGUGGGGAAUUUUGGACAAUGGGCGAAAGCCUGAUCCAGCCAUUCCGCGUGCAGGAUGAAGGCCCUCGGGUUGUAAACUGCUUUUGUACAGAACGAAAAGGUUUCUACUAAUACUAGGAGCUCAUGACGGUACUGUAAGAAUAAGCACCGGCUAACUACGUGCCAGCCGCCACAGUAA